UGCAUGGUUGUCGUCAGCUCGUGUCGUGAGAUGUUGGGUUAAGUCCCGCAACGAGCGCAACCCUUGUCUUUAGUUGCCAUCAUUAAGUUGGGCACUCUAGAGAGACUGCCAGGGAUAACCUGGAGGAAGGUGGGGAUGACGUCAAAUCAUCAUGCCCCUUAUGCUUAGGGCUACACACGUGCUACAAUGGGUAGUACAGAGGGUUGCCAAGCCGUAAGGUGGAGCUAAUCCCUUAAAGCUACUCUCAGUUCGGAUUGUAGGCUGAAACUCGCCUACAUGAAGCUGGAGUUACUAGUAAUCGCAGAUCAGAAUGCUGCGGUGAAUGCGUUCCCGGGUCUUGUACAC
rnacentral:rRNA from 1 species